rnacentral:rRNA from 1 species
AUUUCCUUAGUAGCUGCGAGCGAACAGGGAAGAGCCCAGCACUAAAUCCCGUGGCCGGUAUCGGACACCGGGAAAUGUAGUGUUUAGGAGGAUUCAUUAUCCUGAGAUUGUGCAAUGCGUCCAAGUCCUUCUUGAACGGGGCCACAGCCCAUAGAGGGUGCCAGGCCCGUAGUGACUAUUGCCAAUUGCAGGAGAGUCUCUCCAUAGAGUCGGGUUGCUUGAGAGUGCAGCCCUAAGUGGGUGGUAAACUCCAUCUAAGGCUAAAUAUGACCACGAGACCGAUAGCGAACAAGUACCGUGAGGGAAAGUUGAAAAGCACUUUGAAGAGAGAGUUCAAGAGUACGUGAAACCGUUCAGGGGUAAACCUGAGAAACCCGAAAGGUCGAAAGAGGAAAUUCAUUCGUGUCUCGGUGAAUGGCAAGCAGUGGAAUGUAGAAUGGCAAUUUAUCUGUUAUUCGCAUCCACUGUUUGAAUCUAUUUCCGAAUGCGUGCACUUUUCCUCUAGUAGGACGUCGCGAUCCGUUGAGUGUCGGUCUACGGCUCAUGUUGGAGCCCGUUCGGUCAGCUUGCUGUACUGAACGGACACAUGAUGUUUCCUGGCCGGCUCGCUCGACGGUGUACAGAUGGCGCAGAGCCGCGACACAGUUCGCGUUCGGCCUGCAGCAAGCACGUACGGUUUUGUUGGUGAUCGGACCUAGUGCCGUUCCCGACUACGGACGUCUGUUGGCUGUAGUGUUCUUGAACAGACUCUGAUUGUAACGCCGAUCUGCGGCGCAAUAGAUUUGGGUACUUUCAGGACCCGUCUUGAAACACGGACCAAGGAGUCUAGCAUGUGCGCAAGUCAUUGGGACAUAACUAAACCUAAAGGCGCAAUGAAAGUGAAAGUUCGUCUUGCGCGAACAUAGGGAGGAUGAGUGGUUUUAGCCCUUAAAGUGGCCAUUCCGCACUCCCGGGGCGUCUCAUUCUCAUUGCGAGAAGAGGCGCACCAAGAGCGUACACGCUGGGACCCGAAAGAUGGUGAACUAUGCCUGGUCAGGACGAAGUCAGGGGAAACCCUGAUGGAGGUCCGUAGCGAUUCUGACGUGCAAAUCGAUCGUCUGAACUGGGUAUAGGGGCGAAAGACUAAUCGAACCAUCUAGUAGCUGGUUCCCUCCGAAGUUUCCCUCAGGAUAGCUGGCGCUCGUUGCGCACGAGUCUCAUCCGGUAAAGCGAAUGAUUAGAGGCAUUGGGGUCGAAACGACCUCAACCUAUUCUCAAACUUUAAAUGGGUGAGAUCUCCGGCUUGCUCGAACUUAUGAAGCCGAGAGAUACGGAUCAGAGUGCCAAGUGGGCCAUUUUUGGUAAGCAGAACUGGCGCUGUGGGAUGAACCAAACGUCGAGUUAAAGCGCCUAAAUCGACGCUUAUGGGAUACCAUGAAAGGCGUUGGUAACUUAAGACAGCAGGACGGUGGCCAUGGAAGUCGGAAUCCGCCAAGGAGUGUGUAACAACUCACCUGCCGAAGUUACUAGCCCUGAAAAUGGAAGGCGCUGAAGCGUCGUGCUUAUACUCGGCCGUCAGUGGCAUGUGCGGUCAAUAUUUAUAUGGCCAUGAAGCUCUGACGAGUAGGAGGGUCGCGGCGGUGAGCGCAGAAGGGCUGGCCGUGAGGCCGUCUGGAGCCGCCGUCGGUGCAGAUCUUGGUGGUAGUAGCAAAUACUCCAGCGAGGCCCUGGAGGACUGACGUGGAGAAGGGUUUCGUGUGAACAGCCGUUGCACACGAGUCAGUCGGUCCUAAGCCCUAGGCGAAAGCCGAUGUUAAUGUGGUGUAUUGUUUAUGUAUAAAAUUAAUUUUGUAUUAAAUAAAUAUUAUGUACACACCCAUUGGGCGAAAGGGAAUCCGGUUCCUAUUCCGGAACCCGGCAGCGGAACCGUUACAUUAGUCGGGCCCCUCGCAAGAGAAGCUCGUCGGGGCAACCCAAAAGGACCCGGAGACGCCGUCGGGAGAUCCGGGAAGAGUUUUCUUUUCUGCAUGAGCGUUCGAGUUCCAUGGAAUCCUCUAGCAGGGAGAUAUGGUUUGGAACGCGAAGAGCACCGCAGUUGCAGCGGUGUCCGGAUCUUCCCCUCGGACCUUGAAAAUCCGGGAGAGGGCCACGUGGAGGUGUCGCGCCGGUUCGUACCCAUAUCC